rnacentral:miRNA from 1 species
UAAGAGAUAGGGCCUCACCU